rnacentral:rRNA from 1 species
AUGGCGACUCGCGCCACCACCCCCUCCUACCUCUACAACGUCCUCCUCCGCCGCGCCGCAGACCACCGCGGCCUCCUGCUGGCCUUCCGGGCUAUGCUGCGCGCGGGCGUCGCGCCGGACCACUUCACCUUUCCCUUCGCCCUCAAGGCGCUCGCCCAGGCACGCGCCGCAGCGCCACCGCGCGCCGGCGGAGCCCUUCGGUGCCUCCACGCGCAGCUUGCCAAGUCUGGCCACGGCGCCGACGUCUACGUUACUUCCUCCCUCGUCCACGCCUACUCGGCAGCCGCCGCCGACGCCGCCUCUGCACGUGCGGUGUUCGACGCCGCGCGCCACCGCAACGUCGUCACCUGGACGGCGAUGAUCGCUGGGCACGCCGCGGCUGGGGAGGCGCGGGAUGCGGUCGCGCUAUUCAGGGAGGCUGUGGCGAGCGGGCAAGAGGUAAUUAAUAGUGUCACGGCCGCGCAGGUGAUGGCGGCGUGCGCGCAGUGCGGCGACAUAGAGAGCGGGAGGUGGGUGCACGACACGCUCCGGCGCUGGUGCGUCGAGCCCGUAUUGCUCGAUGUUGCUCUUGCCACGGCGGUACUCCAUAUGUAUGCCGCAUGUGGUGGUCUCAGUGUUGCAGUUCAAGUGUUCGAUGCAAUUCCUCAAAGAAACGAGGUGUCCUGGAAUGCAAUGGUUGAGGUUUGUAAUCGUCAUGGCAGCUCGGAUAAGGUUCUAGAAGCUUUUGCUGCUAUGCAUUCUGCUGGGAUGAAGCCUGAUAAGGUGACAUGGCUGAGCAUACUGCGUGCUUGUACAUCGAAGGGAGAUACGGGCUUAAGCCGAGGGGUUCACGCAUACAUGGAAAAGACUAAUUGUUGUCGACAUGUUUCAGUUUGCACAUCUCUAAUGGAUAUGUAUUCAAAAACAGGAAAUGCACAGAGCGCGCUCCAGAUAUUUCAUUGUCUCAAAGGAAAGGAUUUGAUGGCAUGGACAAGCAUGAUCAGCAGUUUGGCGAAGCAUGGCCAAGGCAGAGAUGCAGUUCAGCUCUUCAAGCAGAUGGAGUAUGGUGGCGUUGUUCCAGACCAUGUUGCAUUUUUAGGCGUGCUUACCGCUUGCAGUCAUGCAGGGAUGGUGGAUGAGGGCAGGAAAUAUUUUGGCUCCAUGCUGAAUCUUUACGGCAUCAGACCAACGGUAAAACAUUAUGGAUGUAUGAUUGAUCUCUUGAGCCGUGCAGGUCACUUAGGAGAGGUUGAGAGGAUGAUGCAGCUGAUGCCUAUUCAGCCCAGUGUUAGAAUGUGGGGAAGUAUGAUGAACGGUUGCAAGAUACAUGGUAGGGCCGAUGUAGCUGAGAGGAUAGGAUGGGAGUUUGCUGAACUUAACCCUCAGUUAAGUGCAACCUAUGUGGUCAUGUCCAACAUAUACGCAGAGGUUGGUAGGUGGCAUGCGGUCGAGCAAACUAGGAGGCUGAUGUGGCAGAAGGGAUUGAAGAAAAAUAUUGGCUCAAGUGGCACUGAAGUGCACAUGCUGUGCUCCUGA